GAGGGCUUUGGAGAAGUGCCCCGGCCUGGCAUGGUGCCCGCCUGCCGCACCAUCUAUUUAACCAGCCCGUCCCUGCCCACUCCCCAGCCAGCAGCUCACCCCGGCAUCUCCGCGGCCAGGGACAGAGCUGCAAACCCACCCCCGAGCCCUCUGCUGCCCAGGUUAGGUGGAUCUGUCGCGGCUCCGACACCAGCCCCCCCUUCUCUCCAGAGCCAUGGACGUUCGUCUUGUCUUGUGCCUCCUCUGGGCUCUCCUAGCUACAGCCCAUGCACGUCCUUCCAGCUGUUACCAGAGCACCCCCGGGGAAAGUAGCAUCGUGAGGAACUGUAGGAGUUGGGAAGAUUCUUGCAUCACUGCCCAGGAGGUGAACACUAUCGGGGGCGUGGUGAACACGGGCAUCUUCCAGUCCUGCACCCUCAGCUGGUUGAGCCUGGAGGGUGACCUGGACUUCGAGUUCGGGGGCGGCGUCUACGUGAGGAUCCACUCUGAGCUGUGCAGAGAGACCAACUGCAACACGGGGGCGUUCAAGGAACGCCCCCAAAUCAGCACCGUGCCCAAUGGAAGACAGUGCCCGUCGUGCUAUGCCCCAGGAUCCCACCGCUGCCUCCACAACAAGAUCCUGCACUGCCAGGGGGCUGCCAACCACUGCGUUGACGUCACCGGGAUGCUGUCAGAGAAAAACACCAACACCGAAAUCCCUUUCGCAGCCAGAGGAUGCGCCACCAAGGAUGUGGCCAAGAUCAAAGCUGGGAUGGGCCUGGAGUCGGGCGUAUACAUCUAUCAAAUCGCGACCAUCCAGUUAAGCCCGGCCCCCAAAAUGGAGACAGUGGACGGCUUCUGAUGCCCUGCUGAGCUCCAUCCCACUGGCACGCCCCCGCUUCGAGCUAUUCCCUCCCACUCCACCCCCAGGCCUGUCCGGGGCUGGCCCCCCAGCUGUGACUCAGUUUUCCCCCACCCAAGGGGGAAUAAGGGUGCCAAGCCCCCUUCAUAAAGCGCUUUGAGACCCAUGGGUCCAGGGCACAAGCCAGAGACCCAUUAUGGGCUUUGCACUAAGCGUGACGAGCUUAAAAACAGGCCUGAGUAUUAGAGACCCAUUAGCAGCUUCUCCCCAGAGCGUGCUCUGAGGGGUAAAGCCCAGGUGUCCUGGCUCCCAGCCCCCACUGCUCUAACCCACCAGCCCCCACUCCCCUCCCAGAGCUAGAGAGAGAACCCAGGAGUCCUGGCUCCCAGCCCCCCUGCUCUAACCACUAGUCCCCACUCCCUCCCAGAUCCAAGAACAGAACCCAGGCAUCCUGCCACCCCUCCACCCUCUGUUCUCACCCUCUGUAUUUCCACAUGCUAAUGCAUUGAAUAAAGCUGCAUCAUAAAUCCA
rnacentral:lncRNA from 1 species